rnacentral:rRNA from 1 species
GUGAGGAAUUUUCCGCAAUGGGCGAAAGCCUGACGGAGCAAUGCCGCGUGAAGGAUGAAGGCCUAUGGGUUGUAAACUUCUUUUCUCAGAAAAGAAUUAUGACGGUAUCUGAGGAAUAAGCAUCGGCUAACUCUGUGCCAGCAGCCGCGGUAAGACAGAGGAUGCAAGCGUUAUCCGGAAUGAUUGGGCGUAAAGCGUCUGUAGGUUGUUUAAAAAGUAUUCUGUCAAAGAUUAGGGCUUAACCCUAGAUAGGAAGAAUAAACUUUUAAGCUAGAGUUUGGUAGAGGCAGAGGGAAUUCCCGGUGGAGCGGUGAAAUGCGUAGAUAUCGGGAGGAACACCAAAGGCGAAGGCACUCUGCUGGGCCAAUACUAACACUGAGAGACGAAAGCGAGGGGAGCAAAUGGGAUUAGAAACCCUGGUAGUCC